rnacentral:misc_RNA from 1 species
UAAUAAGUGUUUUAUGACACUUUUUAAAUCCAUAUCCACCUUGUGUGCAAUGUCAGUCGAUCUUCUUCAUGGAGAUCGACCAAACAUCAACCUUUAUCUUUUAACUCUUUGUCUGAAAAAUAUUAUGAAUAAACAAUUCAAAAUA